rnacentral:rRNA from 1 species
AGUGAACGCUGGCGGUAGGCCUAACACAUGCAAGUCGAACGGCAGCACAGUAAUAGCUUGCUCUUACGGGUGGCGAGUGGCGGACGGGUGAUGAAUACAUCGGAAGCUACUUUUUCGUGGGGGAUAACGUAGGGAAACUUACGCUAAUACCGCAUACGACCUACGGGUGAAAGCAGGGGAUCUUCUGACCUUGCGCGAGUGAAUGAGCCGAUGUCGGAUUAGCUAGUUGGCGGGGUAAAGGCCCACCAAGGCGACGAUCCGUAGCUGGUCUGAGAGGAUGAUCAGCCACACUGGAACUGAGACACGGUCCAGACUCCUACGGGAGGCAGCAGUGGGGAAUAUUGGACAAUGGGCGCAAGCCUGAUCCAGCCAUACCGCGUGGGUGAAGAAGGCCUUCGGGUUGUAAAGCCCUUUUGUUGGGAAAGAAAAGCAGCAGGUUAAUACCCCGCUGUUCUGACGGUACCCACAGAAUAAGCACCGGCUAACUUCGUG